UGCCAGUACUGAUAUUUGAACAUGCUGAA
rnacentral:piRNA from 1 species